GUACGUAGGGGGCAAGCGUUGUCCGGAAUCAUUGGGCGUAAAGCGCGUGUAGGCGGCUCGAUAAGUCUGCUGUGAAAGUCCAGGGCUCAACCCUGGGAUGCCGGUGGAUACUGUCGAGCUCGAGUCCGGAAGAGGAGAGUGGAAUUCCUGGUGUAGCGGUGAAAUGCGCAGAUAUCAGGAAGAACACCAGCGGCGAAGGCGGCGCUCUGGGCUGGAACUGACGCUGAGGAGCGAAAGCGUGGGGAGCGAACAGG
rnacentral:rRNA from 1 species